rnacentral:rRNA from 1 species
ACCUGGUUGAUCCUGCCAGUAGUCAUACACUUGUCUUAAAGAUUAAGCCAUGCAUGUCUAGAGAGAUUUGAUUGUCUAACCAUUAGACUGCAGACCGCUCAUUAUAACAGCUAUGGUACAAUGGAUAUUACCUUAUAGGCUGGAUACCUGCUACAAAUUCUAGAGCUAAUACAUGUCAUAAAUAAUAUAUCUUUAAGAUAUAUUUGGCUUUUAUUUUUUUUCAAAUCAAAGUGCUUCUACACUAUGGGUGAUUCAUAAUAAUUCUUGGAGAUCGCUUUAUAAGUGACAAUUCAUUCAAGUUUCUGACCUAUCACUUAGUCAGUAGUGUAUUGGACUAUUGAGGCAUUGACGGGUAACAGAGAAUUAGGGUUCUGUUCCGGAGAGGGACCCUGAGAAACAGCUACUACAUCUAAGGAAGGCAGCAGGCGCGUAAAUUACCCAAUUCUGAUUAAGAGAGGUAGUGACAAGAAAUCACAAUAUUUUGCCCUAGGGUUAAAUAAUUGUAUUGAGAACAGAGUAGAUAUAUUAUCGAUAAACUAUUGGAGGGCAAGUCUGGUGCCAGCAGCCGCGGUAAUUCCAGCUCCAAUGGUGUAUGCUAACAUUGUUCCAGUUAAAAAACUCGUAAUCGAAUUUUUAAGGGAAUCAAUUUCGUAUGGUCUUAAUGAACUACAAAAGAAAAUAAUUUAUCUUAUUUUGCGCUUAUACACCGUUAGAAUUCGUUUUCUGACAGUGAAUUAAGUGUGUAUUUACUUUGAGAAAAUUAGAGUGUUCUAAGCAGUCUUACAGCUUUAUCCUAAACCAUGGAAUGAUAAGUAAUGACAUCGGUUAAUUUCUGUUGGUUUGAGAAGUUGAUGUAAUGAUUUAUAGAGUUAGUCGGAGGUAUUAGUAUUUUGUCGUUAGAGGUGAAAUUCCGGGAUCGACAAAAGACUAACAACUGCGAAAGCCAUUUACCUAGGAUUUGCUUCCUUGAAUCAAGAACGUAAGUUGGGGGAUCGAAGACGAUCAGAUACCGUCGUAGUCUCAACUUUAAACUAUAUCAGCUAAGGGGUGGCAAAUGGUUAUAUGACUUUGUUAGAACCUUAAGGGAAAUCAAAGCGUUUGGGUUCCGGGGGGAGUAUGGUCGCAAGGCUGAAACUUAAA